GACGUAGGGUGCAAGCGUUGUCCGGAUUUACUGGGCGUAAAGAGCGCGUAGGCGGUCUGUUAAGUGUGAAGUGAAAUCUCCAGAGCUCAACUCGGAAACUGCUUCGCAUACUGGCAGGCUGGAGGAACGGAGAGGUGAGUGGAAUUCCUGGUGUACCGGUGAAAUGGGUUGAUAUCAGGAGGAACACCGAUGGCGAAGGCAGCUCACUGGCCGUUAUCUGACGCUGAAGCGCGAAAGCGUGGGUAGCAAACAGG
rnacentral:rRNA from 1 species